AGGUCUUGGUCUUAAACCUCAUGCUGUCUUUACCCCAUACCCAUACAUGCAAGCCUCACCAUCACAGUGAAGUAGCCUACUAAUAAUAAACUAGAGCCGGUAUCAGGCAAUCGCCCACAACGCCAAGCAAUAAGCCACACCCCCACGGGCCUGCAGCAGUACUUAAUAUUAGGCCAUAAGCGGAAGCUUGACCUAAUAAUGGGGCCUAUAGGGCCGGUUAAUCUCGUGCCAGCGACCGCGGUUAUACGAUAGACCCAAGACAACAUAAUCGGCGUAAAGCACGACUAAAAUAACAGUCACCCAAUUAGAGUUGAGGGUAGAGCUGGGCUGUAAAAAGCCAAAUCACAGCCUCUAAUAACAAACUAAUUCAACUCGUGAAAGCAGGGGGACAAACUAAGAUUAGAUACCUUACUAUGCCCCGCCGUAACACGGCAAUCAAAUAACCAAUUGCCCGCCAAAUAACUACGAGUAAAAACUUAAAAUUUAAAAGACUUGACGGUACUUCACAUCAACCUAGAGGAGCCUGUCUAAUAACCGAUAAUCCACGAUUAACCCCACCCGUUUUUGCCUAACAGUCUAUAUACCGCCGUCGCCAGCCUACCUUGUAAAAGAAAGAAAGUAAGCCAAAUAGUAACCACUAACACGACAGGUCGAGGUGUAACAAAUAAGCGGGCCAAGGAUGGGCUACAUUUUCUUUAUAAGAACAAACCAAUAAAGAAUGAAAUAACAACCUGAAGGCGGAUUUAGCAGUAAGAUGGGAACAUAAUACCCACCUGAAACCAGUGCAAUGAAGUGCGUACACACCGCCCGUCAUCCCUGUAAAAUAACACAAAUAUUCAUAAACACAUACCUACCCCUAAAGCAGGGCAAGUCGUAACAUGGUAAGCGUACUGGAAAGUGUGCUUA
rnacentral:ncRNA from 1 species